GGUUUAGGGUUUAGGGCUUUGGUUUUUAUUAAGUUUAGGGAUUUAGGUUAAGGGUUUUAUCUGCGAUUUUAUGGUUUAGGGCUUUGGGUUUUUAAGUUAAGGUUUUUAUCGUAGUUCUUAGGGUUUAGGCUUAGAGCUUUUUUAGGAUUAGGAUUUUAGGUUAUGGGUUUUUUCUAGAUUUUUAGUGUUUCAAGCUUUUAAGGGCUUAAUAGGGUUUAUAACUUAGAGU
rnacentral:lncRNA from 1 species